GACGCUGGCGGCGUGCCUAAUACAUGCAAGUCGAGCGGACAGAUGGGAGCUUGCUCCCUGAUGUUAGCGGCGGACGGGUGAGUAACACGUGGGUAACCUGCCUGUAAGACUGGGAUAACUCCGGGAAACCGGGGCUAAUACCGGAUGGUUGUUUGAACCGCAUGGUUCAAACAUAAAAGGUGGCUUCGGCUACCACUUACAGAUGGACCCGCGGCGCAUUAGCUAGUUGGUGAGGUAACGGCUCACCAAGGCAACGAUGCGUAGCCGACCUGAGAGGGUGAUCGGCCACACUGGGACUGAGACACGGCCCAGACUCCUACGGGAGGCAGCAGUAGGGAAUCUUCCGCAAUGGACGAAAGUCUGACGGAGCAACGCCGCGUGAGUGAUGAAGGUUUUCGGAUCGUAAAGCUCUGUUGUUAGGGAAGAACAAGUACCGUUCGAAUAGGGCGGUACCUUGACGGUACCUAACCAGAAAGCCACGGCUAACUACGUGCCAGCAGCCGCGGUAAUACGUAGGUGGCAAGCGUUGUCCGGAAUUAUUGGGCGUAAAGGGCUCGCAGGCGGUUUCUUAAGUCUGAUGUGAAAGCCCCCGGCUCAACCGGGGAGGGUCAUUGGAAACUGGGGAACUUGAGUGCAGAAGAGGAGAGUGGAAUUCCACGUGUAGCGGUGAAAUGCGUAGAGAUGUGGAGGAACACCAGUGGCGAAGGCGACUCUCUGGUCUGUAACUGACGCUGAGGAGCGAAAGCGUGGGGAGCGAACAGGAUUAGAUACCCUGGUAGUCCACGCCGUAAACGAUGAGUGCUAAGUGUUAGGGGGUUUCCGCCCCUUAGUGCUGCAGCUAACGCAUUAAGCACUCCGCCUGGGGAGUACGGUCGCAAGACUGAAACUC
rnacentral:rRNA from 1 species